rnacentral:lncRNA from 1 species
UGUGAUUGAUUUUUAUUUCUCAAUGAAUAUAUUACCCAAAGUAUCCUCUACUUAUAUACUACAAUCAAUACUAAUAUUCUGUUAACACAACUAACUCAACUAAAACAGUUUAAACUACUACUAAUAGCAAACUAAUUCUUAACCUAGUUGUUAUUACUAACAAUUACUAUUUGAGUAUACACAGAAGAUAUGAAUUAUGAAGUUUGCAAGUCCACUAGUUAUAAUUACUAACAAUGUAAUAACGAAAACCCAAUAUCGAUUGUUAUAAAUAUUUAUCAUUCCACCGUUCUCCGGCGAUUGUUUCGUCCAGCGAUUGCUUCCCAUUCGGGGACCAUUCCUAGGUUAUAAAAAAACAUAAAAUUAAACGAACCCAGUAAAAAAAGGUUUGACCCACAUGUUGAGUGAUGGACUUAAUUAGGUGGAUAGAUAUAUAUUCCAAUCCCAAAUUGGAUUGAUCACUGAACAAGUAUUCCGGUUAUCCAUUGCAUCAGUGCAGACAUCUGAGGGAUCUGGAUGGAGAUUAAGUUAGGUUUGGCUAACCAUGUUGAUGCAUGUCGAUAGUAACGGACAAAACCGUGAGUUUGUUUCAGUUAGG